rnacentral:rRNA from 1 species
UACGGGGAGAGCAAGCGUUGUUCGGAUUUACUGGGCGUAAAGGGCGCGUAGGCGGCCACCGCAAGUCGACUGUGAAAUCUCCGGGCUUAACCCGGAAAGGUCAGCCGAUACUGCGGGGCUAGAGUGCAGAAGGGGCAACUGGAAUUCUCGGUGUAGCGGUGAAAUGCGUAGAUAUCGAGAGGAACACCUGCGGCGAAGGCGGGUUGCUGGGCUGACACUGACGCUGAGGCGCGAAAGCUAGGGGAGCGAACGGG